rnacentral:rRNA from 1 species
AAGAGGAAAAAGAGAAAGAAAAGGAAAAAGUAAAGAGAGCGAAAAAGGAAAAAGAAGAAGAACAAGAGGAAACACAAAGUACGAAACGAUUAAAAGUCACAGAAAGUGAUGUUUAUAUCUUUCCUUAAAAGGUUUCUUCUUUUCUCUGUUUCUUUCUUUCUAUGAGUUAUUCUUCUUUUUUUUUCUUCUCAUUGUAAGUAUUCAAUAUUUCUAAGGUAGUUUCGCUUAGGCAAAUCAAAUUUGUCCAUAUUGUUAACAUUUU